UGCGUAGGCGGUGAUAUUAGUCGGGCGUAAAUCCUGGGGCUCAACCUCAGGCUCGCGUUCGAAACGGUAUCACUAGAAGACGUGAGAGGUUUAGAGAACUCUCGGUGUAGGGGUGAAAUCCGUUGAUAUCGAGGGGAAUACCAAAUGCGAAGGCACUAAACUGGCACGUUCUUGACGCUGAGGCACGAAAGCGUGGGUAGCGAACG
rnacentral:rRNA from 1 species